rnacentral:rRNA from 1 species
GAUGAACGCUGGCGGCGUGCCUAAUACAUGCAAGUCGAGCGAACAGACGAUGAGCUUGCUCCUCUGACGUUAGCGGCGGACGGGUGAGUAACACGUGGAUAACCUACCUAUAAGACUGGGAUAACUUCGGGAAACCGGAGCUAAUACCGGAUAAUAUAUUGAACCGCAUGGUUCAAUAGUGAAAGACGGUUUUGCUGUCACUUAUAGAUGGAUCCGCGCCGGAUUAGCUAGUUGGUAAGGUAACGGCCUACCAAGGCAACGAUGCGUAGCCGACCUGAGAGGGUGAUCAGCCACACUGGAACUGAGACACGGUCCAGACUCCUACGGGAGGCAGCAGUAGGGAAUCUUCCGCAAUGGGCGAAAGCCUGACGCAGCCACGCCGCGUGAGUGAUGAAGGUCUUCGGAUCGUAAAACUCUGUUAUUAGGAAAGAACAAAUGUGUAAGUAACUAUGCACGUCUUGACGGUACCUAAUCAGAAAGCCACGGCUAACUACGUG